CCUCUGUUGCCCAGGAAACACAGAUGGUGGAUAAGGGGGUUGCAUACAAAAGACCAUAAACCUGUAGCAGCAGCUGCAGAUCGAGAGCACCCAUUCUCCCAGGAUUGCGCAGUUAUUCAAAGGAGUCUCUGUUCUCAUUCAGACCAUCGCUUCAUCAUCUUUGUCCACAGCUUUUCUGCUCCACUUUGUCCUGAUUUUCUCCCUGAACUGGUGUGCCGUCUCCCUGUCAGUGCGCAGCUGCUGCUGGCACUCCCACAGCUGCUUGUUUCAGCUCGGCGGCCAUGAAGAGGACGCUGAACUGCUGAGAAGCAGGAGACUCGGUGUGAGAAGAGACCUUCUUUAUGUGGCGCAGGCAGAUAAACGCGCUGGGGAUGCGCAUGUUGAACAGCUUGCCUCCAGGAUAGAAGGGGAAAGAAGCCAUGAUCUCCUCACACCCUUUAUGAUGCAGAUGGAACCUGAAGAUCUUUGGUGAGGUGUGUCAUAUAAGCUGGAGUCACUGCUUGAGCUGCUGAUACCAAACAGGACCUGGGAGGAGCCAUCAUCAGGGCAGGUUAUGUGUUAUCUUUGUUAAAAUAGCUAAAGGAGGGCAUUCUUUAUUGGUCAAUUGCUAUUUAUCAUUAUAUAUAUAUAUUUUUUUUUUAUUAAGGUGUAGUAAAAUGCUCUAAUAUGAAAGAAUAAAAUGCAGCAUCUAUAGGAACCUGAUCCUUUCGGAGAUGUUUACAGGACAGCUGAGUUGCGUUCCACUUUUCUGCUGCUUUGUCUCGUGUGUCCCUUCUCCAGUUACACUGAUGAAAGAAAGCAGAUUUGGAGUCAACAAGACCCCAUUAUACCCCAGCUGACGCCGCUCCACCUCCUGCUCUCUGCUGCCUUAUGGAACGUGGCUGAGACUCGGUGCCGUUGGAGCCAUGCUGCUCCCACAGAGGGAAUAUUUUCUUUUUAGAUUGUUUCACUACCAAGAGAUGACUUCCGCUGCUGCUUUAUCGGCAGAAAAGAAAUAACCAUGCAGCCGUUGCAGUGUCAUUAUUAUCUGUUUAAUCACUUUUAGCUGGAAGGCACUUCAUUGGAAAUCAUUUGCUGCUCUUUUAAAUGCUUUGUUUUAUAGCUUUAAUCAAACCCUUUCUUAUUUCCAUUUCUGUGGAUCAGAAAUGACCUUUAGUGAAUUUAUUUUUAUUUUUUGAAAACCAGCUUGAAGUGCUGCCAGAUUCAAACCGAUGAAGUUUUUUUUUAUAUAUAUAGUUGAGGCCUGAACACAAAUAUGUGCCAGUGUGUGAAAAUGGCUGAUGUUCCCACCCUCUAAAAAUGUGUAAAUCACACAUUUCUGUUUGUUGUGAAAGCUCCCAAGUUUAAUGUGAAACCAACUAUUUUUACUAUACUACAGCUCUGUAGUGUGAGUGUGAGUGUGGGUGAGUGCAUGUGUUUCUCUGCAUGUGCUCCAUUCGUGUUUAUGGCAGUGUGUUUGCACGUGUGUCUCAUCGGUCCGAUAAGAUGUAUCUUUAAUGGGCCAGAAACUGCAGCUACAAUCCUUUUUAACCACUGGAUGUACAAGAUAAGGGAUAAAACAUUAUUUACUGAUGAUUCUUAGCAUUUGUUACAACCUCAUUAAAGCAGCAGUCCUACUUGUGAUUUAGAUCACAAGGAUGUUAUUGGAAAUUUGUUGGGUGCCGUUUUCUGAAUGAUGCCUGCUGGCAUACACCGAACCCUUUCUGUGCCAGCAGCCCCAUCAUUUAACACUUAAGCAAAUUAAGGCAAAUGCUAAUAAUGAUGUGUAAAUAGCCUUUUACCCACGCCUUGAUUGCACUAACAGGAUCUGACUAAUGUCGUCUAACAGUACUAAUGUCUGCUAACAGUUGAAGGAUUACUAACCUCUGUGCAGAAUGCAGACGGCUUGCAUUUCUAACCCACUAACUUCUCUCUCUGCUUUAUAUUAGCUGUCUUAGAAGCACGCUUCUCUUCUUUGAUCCUGUAUUCCUUCUUUUAAGAGGUGUCUGAUUCAGAUAUCUCAAAUCGAGCAUGGAAAGAAGGAUUUCAGGACUUGGGAAGAGGAUUGUUGAAAACCUGAGGAUAAGAAGAGGUCAAAAUUGGUUGACCCCAUACUGCAGCUAAAAAUAGGCUAAUCUGCUUCCAAAUGUUUGCAUUUUUCAGGCUAAAUUGGAAUCUUAUAGAGCAGUUUUUUGCUCUCUGAUUGUGCUGUGUGGUCAACCCUGCCUUUGCCCGUGGAGGUGGUAACUAACCCCUAAUGUGUUCGUACUAACAAUAUGGAGGCUGAAUCGGCCCAUCUGCCACUCUUACUAACAUCUUUCUGUUGUCUGAUUGAUUUGACAGUAACUAAAGCAUGCUUUGUGGUAUUGGUGAUGCUUAUUAUAUGACUCUCCAUGGGCUUUUCCCCCCUAUCUCAGGCAUCGACUAUCUGAGCUGUGUUUUUAACAUUUAGUUUAGUUUUUUAUCUUCUAAAAAAAACAAUUUAAAUGUUACUAACCAGAGGAGCUUUCAGUAGCUCUGCAAACUAACAAACUAACCUACUAAUAAACUAAUUUUCUAACCUUAACUAACCAAAAAUUCUUCGGUUUGUGAUUUCAUCAAACAGUUCUUUAACCAAGGAGCUGUGUCGCUUUUUGAAUGCAUUUGUGUGUUUGAAUGAAUGUGUGUGUACAAACCUAUCAACGUUUUCAUGAAAUUAUCAUUAAAAGUUUUUUAAUUAUGCUCAUUGCAUUAAGAUUAUUGUAUGUAGAUAGUUAUAAUCUAUCCAAGUUGGUGCAAAACUUUUCUUUCUUUCCACCUGCACUGUGUCCCCUAAACAAGCAGCCUUCUAUUAGUGCAAAAUGUACGUCCACAGAAGAGGGUUUGCAAAGCUGAUAUGCGGUACUGAGCCCAUCAGGCAGAUGAACUGUAAAAAGUCAACCCUAACCCUAACCCUAGUCAGUGGAUGUUGUCAUGCUUUGAGCAACUUACCACCUAACUGGAAUCACACUACAAACGUUAUAUAGAUCCUAAAGGACUUUGGUGUUUAAGCAACAUUUAAAGAAGUCAGCUCAGAUCCUGUUUCUGCAACAUGACGGUCUGCUUAAUGUUAGCUACCUUAACAUGAACAACUUUUGAUUGGACUUUAUCCUACCCUUUGGCAACAAAUUGAUGUGUUGUUAGCAUAAGAUUCUGUUUAAUUCAGGUUUACUGUGUGUAAAAUGAUAAUACUUUAACUCAAAAAUGAUUGGUACAGUAAAGGCCCUAAAACAAAGUUUGAGCCCCCAGUAACUCAUCCUCACAUGAGUAGAGGAUGUACAGACUGUUGUUGUUUAUAAAAUAUGUCAGCAAAAAACCCCAACAACACUACACUAUGUUUUAUGCAUUUAAAACUGCUUUUAAACCAUUAAGUAAAUAAUUUUUUUACUGCUAUUUGAAGACCUGGAAUAAAGAUGGUUUAAAGUUGACUAAACACUAGUCCGUACUAAUAAUAAGCAAACCUCACUGAGUUGACAUCAAAAUAUAAAUGCCCAAAAAACACUGCAAUAAAAUAAAACAAAAAUCAAACAAACAAAAAAGAAAACAUUAAAAUUACAAUACAAACUCAUUGUUGUGAUUUUUUCAUAUUUUUCCAUAUUACCUGUUCAAUCAAGUCUAAGGUUGAUGCUAAACAGAACAGCAGUUUUAGUAUAUUUUUUUAUCUAAAUGGUUUUGAACUUGAUUAUUUUCUACUUUGAUAUUUAGAAAAUGUAAAUAUUUUUGUGCCAUUAUUAAAUAUAUUUGUCUAACAUUUUUAGAAAGAAAACUCACUAUUGAACACCCUGUCAUUUUUUAGGUUCCCUAUCAAAUAGGUAUGACUUUUAUGCAUUCCUGUGGAUUACUUUAAAAGGACUCAUUCAUUUAUCUUUAAAUCUGAAAUAUACUGUUGAGAAGAUAUGAAGAAUUGUUUCAGAUCAGCAUCUAUUAUUAUCUAUUACAUCAAGAGAUGUUAUAAAAAGAGAGGGUAGAAAGCGGAAGAAAAUGAGAGAAUUCCAAGAUUGAAUAAUAGGCCUAUAGAAAGUUUCUCAGUGUUUAAGAUGCCUUGUUUCUGUACCCAAGUAAAACAAAUGUAUACUGAAAAAAUAUUUACUUUUAUGCAUGAAGCAGCACUUCAUUUUUUUAUUUUAUUUUUUCAAGAUAUACAAUCUUUUUUUAAAAGAUUAUAUUUGUUCUUUGACUCGGUCAGUAAAAUGAUUCAGGUUUUAGAUUAUUAUUAUUUAAGUUACUGUAAUAUCUCAGACAGCAGAUCAGACAAAAACUUCGUGAUUUCAAGAAAUGUAUGAAAAACUUAAAUCCUUGUUUCCUUGUUGGAUGUCUUGAUGCUGUUGCUCUCGUUUUAUGCACAAAUAAAGAAAGGUUUUCUUCUUA